UACAGAGGGUGCAAACGUUGCUCGGAAUCAUUGGGCGUAAAGCGCACGUAGGCGGCCCAGCAAGUGGGGAGUGAAAGCCCUCGGCUUAACCGAGGAAGUGCUUUCCAAACUACUGGGCUUGAAUACUGGAGAGGGUCGCGGAAUUCCUGGUGUAGCGGUGAAAUGCGUAGAUAUCUGGAGGAACACCGGUGGCGAAGGCGGCAUCCUGGACCAACACUGACACUGAUGAGCGAAAGCCAGGGGAGCAAACGGG
rnacentral:rRNA from 1 species